AUUGAACGCUGGCGGCAGGCCUAACACAUGCAAGUCGAGCGAGCGGCGGACGGGUGAGUAAUGUAUGGGGACUGCCCGAUAGAGGGGGAUAACUACUGGAAACGGUAGCUAAUACCGCAUACUAUCGGAUAACCCAUAUGGGAUUAGCUAGUAGGUGAGGUAAUGGCUGACCUAGGCGACGAUCCCUAGCUGGUCUGAGAGGAUGUGCAGGCACACUGGGAAGGAGACAGGGCCCAGACUCCUACGGAGGCAGCAGUGGGGAAUAUGGCACAAUGGGGGGAAGCAUGAGGCAGCCAUGCCGAGUGUAUGAAGAAGGCCCUAGGGUUGUAAAGAACUUUCAGUCGGGAGGCGUUACCGACAGAAGAAGCACCGGCUAACUCCGUGCCAGCAGCCGCGGUAAUUC
rnacentral:rRNA from 1 species